GUAAUGAUGGCCAGGCUGUCUCCACCCGAGACUCAGUGAAAUUGAACUCGCUGUGAAGAUGCAGUGUACCCGCGGCAAGACGGAAAGACCCCGUGAACCUUUACUAUAGCUUGACACUGAACAUUGAGCCUUGAUGUGUAGGAUAGGUGGGAGGCUUUGAAGUGUGGACGCCAGUCUGCAUGGAGCCGGCCUUGAAAUACCACCCUUUAAUGUUUGAUGUUCUAACGUGGACCCGUGAUCCGGGUUGCGGACAGUGUCUGGUGGGUAGUUUGACUGGGGCGGUCUCCUCCUAAAGAGUAACGGAGGAGCACGAAGGUUGGCUAAUCCUGGUCGGACAUCAGGAGGUUAGUGCAAUGGCAUAAGCCAGCUUGACUGCGAGCGUGACGGCGCGAGCAGGUGCGAAAGCAGGUCAUAGUGAUCCGGUGGUUCUGAAUGGAAGGGCCAUCGCUCAACGGAUAAAAGGUACUCCGGGGAUAACAGGCUGAUACCGCCCAAGAGUUCAUAUCGACGGCGGUGUUUGGCACCUCGAUGUCGGCUCAUCACAUCCUGGGGCUGAAGUAGGUCCCAAGGGUAUGGCUGUUCGCCAUUUAAAGUGGUACGCGAGCUGGGUUUAGAACGUCGUGAGACAGUUCGGUCCCUAUCUGCCGUGGGCGCUGGAGAACUGAGGGGGGCUGCUCCUAGUACGAGAGGACCGGAGUGGACGCAUCACUGGUGUUCGGGUUGUCAUGCCAAUGGCACUGCCCGGUAGCUAAAUGCGGAAGAGAUAAGUGCUGAAAGCAUCUAAGCACGAAACUUGCCCCGA
rnacentral:rRNA from 1 species